GUGCUCCUUUGGGCAGUGUGUAUAUUAAAGUUAGAAUGAAAUAGAGAAGAUUAGCAUGGUCUCUGAGUAAGAAUAACAAGCAAAUUCAUGAAACAUUCCAUAUUUUU
rnacentral:snRNA from 1 species